rnacentral:lncRNA from 1 species
AAAAAAAUACGUUGGUUAUAAUGAAAAUCUGCCUCAAAAUUCAUAAGGAAGGUCAUGGGCCCUAGGAGGGAAUCUACUGCUGACAUUUGCUUUAUGUAUAAAUUGCUCUUGUCACACCCAUACCCUGAUGCUGCUUUCAAUCUGAGUAAAAGAAACUUUGAUUUCAAUGGGUAACAACAAUUUUCCAGCAUCAAAAUUAAUUAAAUAUUGACAUCAAGUGAACGCUGACAGCACUGCCUACCAUGGGAAAUCCAUAUCAUCACAUCUAAUAUUACUCUUUUCCAGAAUCAUUAAGGAAAUAGAAUCUGGCAAAAUCAAAUUCAUGUCCUCUUUCUCCUAACAGGUGAGCCCCACUCCACCCCUCCAAUACCUCUAACAUACCUGGAUCCUUUGUGAGACUCUCCUUUACCUUUAACCUUCCACUGCUCUUAGUGUUGAUUUACAGUUAUGCAGAUUUGGCUGAGCAUAUGAAUAUCUGAAAAUGGAAAAAUAUUGUUCAGAAUGAACCUGAACUUUUCAUGGAACACAAAUGAGAGAUGUCAAUACCUGAUAAAAGGAUAAACAUGAGGGAAAGGGAAGAAAUUAUGAAAAUGUCUCUUUUUUCUCUGAGUAUUUCAGUUUACCCUAGAGAUGUGCAAGUCAGUCACACAGUUAACACACAUAGAGUCCUUUUCCAAGCAACAAGGAAGAAGACCAGGGAAGACUGGAAGUAAACUAUUCUGAUCCACACUAUCCAGACAGUUGGACUUCUCCAGCAAGAGGUGUGUAAAAAAAAAAAAAAAAAAAAAAAGCCCUGAAUGCAGGGUCCAAGCAUUCCCACACCUGCAAGUCCACAGUGCAGAACAAACCAUGAAUGUAUAUGGGCUUUUCAUGAAGCAAGGAGUCAUUUUUCUUAUGUAAGUGAGCAAUCAUAAUUACUCAAAAGGUGCUGUCUAAUUUUGUUUUAAUCCAUAGUAAGUUUUCCACUUACUAAAAUAUCUUGCCUGCCGGGUGUUGUGGCGCACGCCUUUAAUCCCAGCACUUGGGAGGAAGAGGCAGGCACAUUUCUGAGUUCGAGGCCAGCCUGUUCUACAGAGUGAUCUCCUGGACAGUCAGGGCCAUACAGAAAAACCCUGUCUCCAACCCCCCCCCCCCCAAAAUAUCUUGGCCUGAAAUCAUUCUCUCUCAGCAUGCUGGUCUGAACCUUGGAAGGAUUCAAAGAAAUUCAAGAGGAAUGGCUAACUGGGAUGCCUGUUAACAUAUCAAUUAAGUCAUAGUUAGGUAGAUGUUUUCUUGGCUCCUGGUUAUCUUUUGACCUGGCCCUCUAUGCUCCAUCUCAUCCUCAAUUCCCCUCCCCACACCUGAUGGCCUGGUUCAGUCUGGACCCAACCAGAUUUCUCUGAAUGCUUUCUCCCUGGGACUGAAAUGCCAAAAAUUAACCCCACUCAAGAAUCACAUAUCUUCUUGUAAUGCUGCAGGUUUCAUGUCUUAAGAAAAUAAUGAAACCUCAUAGGAAACUAUAAUGGCCAAUACAAACGCCUGUAGCAUGUGACCAAAUCCAUCACUUGCCCAGAUGGUACAAUGAGUUUUUCUCUGGCGACACUCAGGGUUAAGAGAACCUACAAUAUAUUUUCUCCUCAGUCGUACCUUACUGCAAUCCUGUCUUAUUGUUUCAUUCAAACCUAAUGAGUAACUAAGCCUAUGAAGACACAUUUCUCAAUGCUGUAUUUACAUCAAAGACUACAUAUACCUCAGUGCUAAACUAACGGAGACUAUAAUUUUGCUAGGUUAAUGUUAAUAUUUACAGUAAUAUGAUGGUACUUUAUAACGAAUAUUUUGUAAGUCAAUCAAAUCUGCACUGGUCCCCAUAUGACAAUUAUCUACAAAGCUCUCUCGGGAUGCCUAUUUAGUUCCCUGGAGAAAGGGAAAUGAAAUGGCAAAUGGAGGAACAGGGGAGUUAAGAAAGCAUGAAUGAAUUUGAAUUCGAGGAGCUUUAUUAAGGCUUUUGCAAAGACAACCACCCUUAUAUACAAACUACAGAGACGGCCAAGGAUCUACGGGGUUAUUAAAAAAAAUAUUCUGGCAAUCAUAAAAUUAAUUAAAACAUCACCAUGAACCCAAUUCACAGGGUCUCAAACUUCCUGACAAUGGCAAGAUAUCCACAACAAAAUUGUAAGAGUGGCUGCAGAAAAUGCACCCCUGCUCCACAUGCUGGUCUUGUUCCUGCCCAUUUCCCAGCCCAACAGCUCCUCUGACCUGGAAGGUGACAGGACCAGCUGCUGAAUAUCCUAGGAGGCCAGCACAACAACUGCAGCUUAAAGAAGUUUUCAGGUUCAGCAAAUACUAGGCAUGAGUCUUCCUCCAGUAGUUCCUUACCACGAGGCAGCCAAGAAACAAAGAGAAUGAUGAAAUGUCGGAACUUCCCUUCAUUUCUGCCUAGCCCCUCCUUCCGGAACCGCCCAAAAUUCAACAGCUUUCUGGAAUUCUUCUAGGCCCACCUACUUCCGGACCUUUUAAUUCAUUAGCUUCCCAGUUCUUCACAGCAAUUUUUCUUGUUUUGGAUUUCUGCAUGCUUGCUUGCUUGCUUGCUUUUCCUUUGCUUUUAAUUUGUCUUUUCCUUAAACUCAUCAAUUCAUGCAGGAAUCCCACACUCCCCAUCAGGAACCCCUCCCCCAACUCUGUUGCAGGCUGCCUUUCACACAACUUCCCAGGACCUACUCUACACAGCUUCCCCACAAGGUUGCUGCCAGACUAGACUAGAACUGGAUGUACUAGAACACUGCACCUGGGUUCUGAACCCUUCAGAUCCUGCCUAACUUCUCAUAUUGGGAGGCUAGCCCUCUGGACUAAAAAUGCACACAAUUAAGCAAUUCCUCUGAAUUCUGAUGCUCAGAACCCAAAACAAACAGAAACUAUGGUAAAAUGUCCUUGUCUCAAACUGCAAACCAUAUAUGUACCCUAUAAGGAGCACAAUUUAAAUGAUAUCCAAGAUAAAGAAUUGAAAAGCCAUAGUCAUGAUCAAGGAGAUUAAAGUUUGUAAACCAUGAAAAUCCACUCAGAGAGGAACAAAAUGAAUGAUGAACAAGAAAAUAAUACCAGAUACCCGAAGGAAAUAAGGACACUAUAAAAUAUUAAAAUUGAGUUCAAUAGGUGCUUAGAAAUGUCCCCCCGAAAAGACCCUGAAAAGAAAAUGCAGUAAGGCAAAUAAAAAUAAUACAUAGAGAACCUGUGGGAGACAAAUUAUCAGACUUAAAGAAAAGGUAGAGGAGAUGGAUGCCUCAGUCAAAGAAUAUGAUGAAUUAAAAUGAUGUUAGGUCAAGGCACAAUAUUAUUUACUGCUCGAAGGGUGAGACAAUAAAGAGAAACUCCUUUGUAAAAUUGUCUAGAUUUUUGUC